AAAUACCUUCAGGAGGUCCAGUGACGUCACAGAGAUAUCAUGGUGCCAUCUCUCAGGCCAGUUCGAUUUUACCUCAGGAUCUUCCUGGCAGAGGACAAGGAUCGCUGUUCACACAGAGAAACACAGGUACCCCAAAACAGCACAGGGGAAGGGGCAAUGGCCGCCUCAGGUGGGUCAGCCAGUGCUCCAGAAGAUGUGUCUGACCCAGGGGUGGAUCAGCCCCACCACCCUGGAAGGCAGCAAUAAAGAACACAGGGAGGUGGGUUUGAGUUCCCCGUGAUCCCAGGGAAACAAGCCGCCAUCUUGAGCAUAGGCCGCCAUUUUGUGUCAGCUUUGCUUUAUUGACUAGGCCUGUUCCCCCAGAUAGGUCUCACUGGGGGACACCACAACGUGGCUGCAAGUCCUUUUGAGGAGGAAAAAAAAGGGGAGGUUUAAAACUUAAACUUGUAAGUCCUUUUUUAAAAAAAAAAAAAAUUUAAAAAGUUCCAGAAUAAUCAAAAUCCAGACUUGUCUUCAACAGCCACAUAAUUUGCAGGCAUCAAGACCACAUGACAUGCCUUUGACUCCUACAACACACACCUGCAGGGGUAGUUAAGGUUUUUAAAUGAAAGUUUUCUUGUUCUAGUAAAAGAAACUGCAAGUUGAGAGCCUCAGCUUCAUCCGAAUGGAAGAGUAUCUGAAGCUGGAGCCAUCCUUGAUGUCUUGCAGCUCCUUCACAGCUCAUGCAGUUUAACCUUCUGUGGUAUAAAGGUAUGGCUCCUACAAGUCAUGGAAAAUAACUGUGGGGUUGUUGGGUUGUUUGGGUUUUAUCUUUUGAAAGAGAAUAGGUAUGAAGUUAAAGAUUUUCAAGCUUUUACCGUUAAUUACAACAGU